CACGUAGGGCGCAAGCGUUGUCCGGAUUCAUUGGGCGUAAAGAGCUCGUAGGCGGCUUAGUUAGUCGGGUGUGAAACCCCCAGGCUCAACCUGGGGACGCCACUCGAUACUGCUAUAGCUAGAGUCCAGUAGGGGAGUGUGGAAUUCCCGGUGUAGCGGUGAAAUGCGCAGAUAUCGGGAGGAACACCAGCGGCGAAGGCGGCACUCUGGGCUGAGACU
rnacentral:rRNA from 1 species